UUUCCGUAGGUGAACCUGCGGAAGGAUCAUUAAAGAGACUAUGCCCUUCGGGGUCGAUCUCCCACCCUUUGUUUAUAUUACCUUUGUUGCUUUGGCAGGCCGCCGGGCCCCGCUCGGCCGCCGGCUCCGGCUGGCGCGCGCCCGCCAGAGGCCCAGCAAACUCUGAAUGUUAGUGUCGUCUGAGUACUAUAUAAUAGUUAAAACUUUCAACAACGGAUCUCUUGGUUCUG
rnacentral:misc_RNA from 1 species